CCUACGGGAGGCAGCAGUGAGGAAUAUUGGUCAAUGGCCGAGAGGCUGAACCAGCCAAGUCGCGUGAGGGAAGAAUGUCCUAUGGAUUGUAAACCCCUUUUGUCAGGGAGCAAAGUCACCCACGUGUGGGUGUUGGCGAGUACAUGAAGAAAAAGCAUCGGCUAACUCCGUGCCAGCAGCCGAGGUAAUACGGAGGAUGCGAGCGUUAUCCGGAUUUAUUGGGUUUAAAGGGUGCGUAGGCGGGUUAUCAAGUCAGCGGUAAGAUCGUGGAGCUCAACUCCAUCCAGCCGUUGAAACUGAUUAUCUUGAGUGGGCGAGAAGUAUGCGGAAUGCGUGGUGUAGCGGUGAAAUGCAUAGAUAUCACGCAGAACUCCGAUUGCGAAGGCAGCAUACCGGCGCCCGACUGACGCUGAAGCACGAAAGCGUGGGUAUCGAACAGGAUUAGAUACCCCUGUAGUC
rnacentral:rRNA from 1 species